rnacentral:rRNA from 1 species
AACGAACGCUGGCGGCAUGCCUAACACAUGCAAGUCGAACGAGACCUUCGGGUCUAGUGGCGCACGGGUGCGUAACGCGUUGGAACCUGCCCUUAGGUUCGGAAUAACUCCCCGAAAGGGGUGCUAAUACCGGAUAAUGUCUUCGGACCAACGAUUUAUCGACUUUGGAUGGGCCCGCGUUGGAUUACCUAGUUGGUAGGGUAAAAGCCUACCAAGGCGACGAUCCAUAGCUGGUCUGAGAGAAUGAUCAGCCACACUGGGACUGAGACACGGCCCAGACUCCUACGGGAGGCAGCAGUGGGGAAUAUUGGACAAUGGGCGAAAGCCUGAUCCAGCAAUGCCGCGUGAGUGAUGAAGGCCUUAGGGUUGUAAAGCUCUUUUACCCGGGAUGAUAAUGACAGUACCGGGAGAAUAAGCUCCGGCUAACUCCGUG